AUAAAUGUCUUGUCAUUUGUCAAGUCAAGUCAAGACUUAAACCUUUAUUUGUUUUAGUGAUUUUUAAUUUGAGUUUAGUCUCUUUUUUGUAAUUAAUUUAUUGUGAUUAAAACUAUGAUUAACAGUCUACUUGGAAUGACUCUUAUUUGGAUUUAAUGAAGUCACUGUUCGCUGGAUAAUUAACGAGUCUUGUUUGAUGGUGAAUCAGUUAUAUCUGGAGAGAUUGAGUUUUAACUUGUGUUGAAGAUGGUAUAAGAUUGAUUUGCUUAAUCUGUCAAUAUUAAUGGUAAAAUGGAAUCUGGUUCAAUUAAUCAAAUGAAAUGUGAUUAAAGUGACAAAUUAAAUUAAACAUGCAACAUUUACUUGGAUGUGCUUUGGAUUCACCUGAUUCACUGGGAACAUUGAAAAUCAAAGGAGUUUACUUUUUCACCUCUGGAUUUAACGUUAAUCUUUUGAUGUUUCAUUACUUUCAAUGUAAAUUAUUUCACCUGUAAAUCGAUGGACCGAGAGGUUGAUUGAAAAUCAUGGGCAACAUUCUUGGUGACAAGAUGGUAAAGGUGUGCUUUUGACUGUCAGUAAAUAUAAGAUGAGGAUGGAAACAGGGAGGAAAGGAGAUAAAAGAAGGUGAAAAUUGUGUUGUUGAAUCAAAUCAAAGGGAGUAAAUCUGUUGAUUCUUGAAAGAUGAAACGCAAAAGAUUUGAAGCAUUUUGUUGGAUGAUGAUAAAAGACCUAAAAAACUGGAAACAAGUGAAAUUGAUUCUCACUCCUGUCAUUUAUAUUCACUGUAAUAAGAAUCAUUCUUUCUUCCUUGAUGGCUUACAAAGUAAUGGAGAUGAUAAUAAGCGAGUUAAUUCACUUGAAGAGGAACUGGGAAUUAUUAUUCAAUAAUAAUGCUCACAAUUAUUUGCUUGAAAUAAAUGAAAAAAAAAGAGGAACCAUUUUCUGCAGCUGAAUAAUGCAAACUUGUAUUGUUAUACAUUGGAUCUACAUUGGAUUUAAUAUAUCGGAUUUACGCUGUCUGUUUGUACAAAAGUGAAGCCAACAAUUGAUUUCGUGAUUUACUCAUUUCUGGUCGUCAUUAUGAUUACCUCCAUAGGAUUCAUUAUUGAAAAUUGAUUGUAAAUGAUCUGGAUCAUAGUCAUCAAGAACACUGUGCACUUAAACUUCAUUAUCUAUUCAUAUUCUCACUUGUUGUGUUGAUGAAAUCUUAUUAACACAGCAAUUGAAAAUUGAAAGAUUAAUUAUUGGGUUUAGUGUCAUUUAAAUUAUUAAUUUACAUGUGAAUCUUCAAUUUAACUUCAACUUGAAAUGGUUAAGCAUGUUUAAACUCUUUGGCAGACAAAGCAUUGUUAAAGUGAUUCUCAAUCGAUUCCAUUAUGCUAAUCAAUUUUCAAAUGUGAUCCACUUUUUUUUGUCUUGCUCAUUCAAUUUGGAGUAUUUGUUUGUAAUUUUAUUUACAUUUUUCAUUUCCAUGCAAAUAUUCAUAAUAAUAUCAUGAAAUGCACAUUAUAAUCAUCACGAUUUCAAGCUGAUUAACAUUAAACAUAUUUUUUAAUGCCAAGUCACCUUUAGUUAUUUAUUAUUUAUCAAUACAACAUUUGAAAUAGACAAUGUUUUCAAGUCUUUUUCAUAUAAAAGUAUUUAUAAAUUGAUAUUGAUUAGAAACAAAUAAAAGUUAAUUUUACUUGAAUUACAUAAAUAUGUUUACAAUUUAUUGUUUUCAAUGAAACAAAUGAUUGAAAUACAUGUAAAGGCAAUUUCAUAUGAAAUAGUAAUUUAUCAGGAAAACGUAACAUUUUGAACUCUUUUCAUUUCAAAGUAUUUUUGAUUAGAUUUGUUAGAAGUAUUGUUAGUAAAUUGUUUCAAGCUUGUUUCCUUGUGAUUCAAACAUUUUCAAUUCUAACAGUCAUUUUAAUCUGAUUUUGCCUGAGGAUCUUUCUUUACCUUCAAGUGAAACAAUCAAAGAGUACAAACUGUUUCUGACUGAGUCCAAUUGUUGAAGUUUAAUUUCAAGUAAAGAAUCUAUUUUUCAAAUUAAAAGGUUUCCUUCCAUGUUUUAGGUACACUAUUCAAUAUGAGGGAAAAAAGGAACAAUUGGAAGUAAUCUUAUUGAAAUUAAUCAAGAUGAAAUAAGAUGAAAUAUAUUAAAAGAUGAUGAUGAGGAAAAAAAACUCGAACAAUUUGAUGACAAAGGAAAAAUUUCUGUGUACAUUCAACAAGCCCUAGUCUAAUCAAUUUUGCAUGAGUUACAUUGAGAUGGGAAAAUUGUGUUCAUAUCUUAAAGCGAAAUUGUUUUUUACGCUUGUUUUUGCUAUUUCAUGUAUUAAUAGAGAUGAGCUUAACCAUGGCAAUGCAUUAGGCUGAUAUGAUUGCUAGGAGUGACAAUUGUUUGAGCAUUGGAAAGGUUUUAAGCAGUGGGUUAUGAUAA